AGAGUUUGAUCAUGGCUCAGAUUGAACGCUGGCGGCAUGCCUUACACAUGCAAGUCGAACGGCAGCACGGGAGCUUGCUCCUGGUGGCGAGUGGCGAACGGGUGAGUAAUACAUCGGAACGUACCCUGAAGUGGGGGAUAACGUAGCGAAAGUUACGCUAAUACCGCAUAUUCUGUGAGCAGGAAAGAGGGGGAUCGCAAGACCUCUUGCUUUAGGAGCGGCCGAUGUCGGAUUAGCUAGUUGGUGAGGUAAAGGCUCACCAAGGCGACGAUCCGUAGCGGGUCUGGGAGGAUGAUCCGCCACACUGGGACUGAGACACGGCCCAGACUCCUACGGGAGGCAGCAGUGGGGAAUUUUGGACAAUGGGCGCAAGCCUGAUCCAGCCAUGCCGCGUGAGUGAAGAAGGCCUUCGGGUUGUAAAGCUCUUUCGGUGGGGAAGAAAUUGCUUCGGUUAAUACCUGGAGUAGAUGACGGUACCCGCAUAAGAAGCACCGGCUAACUACGUG
rnacentral:rRNA from 1 species